UCAUUAGUAUGAUAGGUAUAUGAAAAAUAAGAAUAUUUAUGUUUAUUUGAUAAUUACGGGUGAGAUGUUACGUUGCGCAUCUCGAGUGUUUUUUGUUUACCCAUGAGCCCACGUAUGACGUUGCUGUGCGGUUGAGGCCUCGUGUGUGAAUCCACUUCGCAGGGAAUAUUUGUGUUGUUGACCUUUCACAGAAGUGGCAGUUAUUGGGCACAAGUCUUUACACUCAUGAAGGUAUGUUUAAGGAUAUUGAGUGGUUUCAAAUUAAUAUCAGAAGAGGAUAAUCCUCAUUAAUAUUGAUAAAUACACGGAACAUGAGUUUGUUGUGUUGGCGUCGGCCAUAAUUUGGAGUGUUUACUUUUCAUAUGCGUUUCAGCCAGUGUUAUGUCCAAUGGGCUGUGGAUUGGAUUUGUGCCGUAACUGAGAUUAUACGUGACGGUAACUACUGGGAAUCAUGGAUUGUGAUAGUGUGGCCAUUGAAGUUGAAACUUUGCUCCAAUAAAAGACUGUUGCAGCU